GAUGAACGCUGGCGGCGUGCCUAAUACAUGCAAGUCGAGCGAACGGACGAGAAGCUUGCUUCUCUGAUGUUAGCGGCGGACGGUGAGUAACACGUGGAUAACCUACCUAUAAGACUGGGAUAACUUCGGGAAACCGGAGCUAAUACCGGAUGAUAUUUUGAACCGCAUGGUUCAAAAGUGAAAGACGGUCUUGCUGUCACUUAUAGAUGGAUCCGCGCUGCAUUAGCUAGUUGGUAAGGUAACGGCUUACCAAGGCAACGAUGCAUAGCCGACCUGAGAGGGUGAUCGGCCACACUGGAACUGAGACACGGUCCAGACUCCUACGGGAGGCAGCAGUAGGGAAUCUUCCGCAAUGGGCGAAAGCCUGACGGAGCAACGCCGCGUGAGUGAUGAAGGUCUUCGGAUCGUAAAACUCUGUUAUUAGGGAAGAACAUAUGUGUAAGUAACUGUGCACAUCUUGACGGUACCUAAUCAGAAAGCCACGGCUAACUACGUG
rnacentral:rRNA from 1 species